rnacentral:rRNA from 1 species
UACGUAGGGUGCGAGCGUUAAUCGGAAUUACUGGGCGUAAAGCGUGCGUAGGCGGUUCGUUAAGUUCGUUGUGAAAGCCCCGGGCUCAACCUGGGAAUGGCAAUGGAAACUGGCGGGCUUGAGUAUGGCAGAGGGGGGUGGAAUUCCGCGUGUAGCAGUGAAAUGCGUAGAGAUGCGGAGGAACACCGAUGGCGAAGGCAGCCCCCUGGAACUGUACUGACGCUCAUGCA